rnacentral:rRNA from 1 species
CUACCCGUGCCGCGAAGCCGUCCGGUGGAUGGCUCGGCUCGGGCGCCGAGGAAGGGCGUGGCAAGCGGCGAUAUGCCCGGGGUAGCCGCAGGCAGGCGUUGAUCCCGGGAUCCCCGAAUGGGGCUUCCUACCUGGGCCGAAUAGGCUCAGGUGCCCCGUAGGGGGUGGGAACGCGGGGAACGGAAACAUCUUAGUACCCGCAGGAGGGGAAACCAAAAGGGACCCCCUGAGUAGGGGCGACCGAAAGGGGGUUAGCCCAAACCGAACCCCCAUGGGGUAACCGUGGGGGGAUGUGGUGUUUGGGCUUGGGUACCGCCGAGGCAGCCUAGCCGAAGUGGGCUGGAAAGCCCCGCCGUAGAGGGUGAUAGCCCCGUAGGCUAAAGGUUGCUGGCGGAUUCCCAAUGUCCCGGAGUACCACGGCUUGGUUUUGCCGUGGGAAUACGGGGGCCUCCAGCCCCUAAGGCUAAGUACGUCCCGAGUCCGAUAGCGAACAAGUACCGUGAGGGAAAGCAUGGGACUCAGGAAACAUGGAGUAGUGUUGAUUGCCCGCGGAUUCUCUGCUCAUUGCUUAAUUACCUCGUGAGAAAACCCACCGGUGGGGUUAUGGGUUAAUUAAAGGGGGUAGUUGUAUUAGUUAAGCCGCGGGCAUUAUAAUGAUGCGUAGUGGUAUCACCGUAUACCCUGGGUCCCGUGCCCCUAGAGCUGAAAAGAACCCCGCGAGGGGUGUGAAAAGAGCCUGAAACCGGACGGUUAAAGGUGCGGCGGCCCUCAAGGAUAACCCCACCUGAAGGAAACCGGGGUGACCCGGGAGUACGAGGGUGGGGUACGGGGUCGCCGCUUACGUCCAGAAACACGAGCCAGGGAGUUCCCAUCUGUGGCGAGUCUAAGGGGGUUAACCCCGGAGGCGUAGGGAAACCGAAGGCCCGCAGUCGGGUUAACCGACGAGGGGCUGGGUCCGUUAAGGGCCCGUAGCCACAGGUGGGAGACCAGAAACCGAGCGAUCUAGCCCGGGGUAGGGUGAAGCGGGGCGAAAGCCCCGUGGAGGCCCGAUUGGGGUUCUGACGUGCAAAUCGUUCCCGUGACCCUGGGCUAGGGGCAAAAGACCAAUCAAGCUCGGUGAUAGCUGGUUCCCCCCGAAGCAGCUCUUAGGCUGGCCUCCCUGGAGGGUGCUCAUGGGGUAGAGCACUGAUCCGGGAUGCAGGGGCCGAAAGGCUCCGGUCCCGGGUCAAACUCCGAACCCAUGAGCCCCAUUGAAGGGGGGAGACGGGUUCCCCGGGGGUAAGCUUGGGGGCCGAGAGGGAAACAACCCAGACCGGGGUUAAGGCCCCAAAGUGCGGGCUAAGUGUCAAUCUAGAAGGGUGUCUCCCACCGAAGACGGCGGGACCGUAGGCCCAGCAGCAGCCAUCGGCUAAGCAACGCGUAACAGCGGACCCGCUGAGGUGGGAGGCCCCGAAGACGCACAGGGACUCAAGCCCGCCGCCGAGACCCCGGCCCACGGAUCAUUGAUCCGCGUGGGGUAGGGGGGCGUCGCCGUGGGGCGGAAGCCGGGCCGUGAGGUCCGGUGGACCCGCGGUGAAUGAGGAUCCUGGCGGUAGUAGCAGCGAAGAGGGGUGGGAUACCCCUCCGCCGGAAAGGCCCAGGGUUCCAUGGUAAUGUUCAUCAGCCAUGGGUUAGCCGGUCCUAAGGUGGGGCCUAAUUGGCACCCACCGAAAGGGAAACGGGUUAAUAAUCCCGUGCCGUGGGGGUAGGUUUGCGGCAACGCAGGCCCCAUUCCCGACGUCUCAGGAUAGGGUGAGUGGGGCUGCCGCCCCAUUUAACCGUCGAAGACCGGGGAGUGCCGUCAUGGCGAGAACCGGUUGAAGACGGUAAUAGCCGGGCCUUGAGCCCGGUUCACCCGACUCCUGGGGCCCAUGAAAAGGGAAUGGGGAACGAGCCCCCACGACCGUACCGAGAACCGACACAGGUCGCCUGGGUGAGAAGCCCAAGGCGGGUCGGGUCACGCCAGGCUAGGGAACUCGGCAAAUUAGCCCUGUAACUUCGGGAUAAAGGGUGCCCGCGGUCUGGGUAAAACCCGGGACCGUGGGUCGCAGUGGCAAGGGGGACCUGACUGUUUAACAAAAACAUAGGUCCCCGCGAGCCCGUAAGGGUUUGUACGGGGGCUGAAUCCUGGCCACUGGCGGUACGUGAAACCCGGGUUCAACCGGGCUAAGCGCCGCUGAAGGCCGGGGGUAACUCUGACCCUCUUAAGGUAGCCAAAUGCCUUGCCGGGUAAGUUCCGGCGUGCAUGAAUGGAUCAACGAGGUCCCCACUGUCCCAGCCUGGUGCCCGGCGAACCCACCUCCAGGUGCAGAGUCCUGGGACCCCCGACGGGGCGAGAAGACCCUGUGGACCUUUACUGCAGCCCGUCGUUGGGGUGGGGGAGGGGGUGCAUAGUGUAGGUGGGAGCGAUGAACCAUGGUCUCCGGGCCGUGGGGAUGCGUCAAUGAAACACCACCCAUCUCCUCCUCUGCCCCUAACCCUGGGGUUCACCCAGGGGACAGCGGCGGGUUGGCAGUUUGGCUGGGGCGGCACACCUCUGAAAAGAUAUCAGGGGUGCCCUAAGCUCCGCUCAGGUCGGUCAGAAACCGACCGUAGAGGGUAAGGCCAAAUGCGGGGCUGACUGCCCCCUUGAACGCUAGGGGGGCAGGGGGGAAACCCGGGCCUAGCGAACGCUCGUGCCCCCACUGGAGGGGGCCGGGCAUGUCGGAAAAGGUACCCCAGGAGUAACCGGCUCGUCGCGGGUGAGAGUUCCCAUCGACCCCGCGGUUUGGUACCCAGACGUCGUCUCUUCCCAUCCUGGCGGUGCAGCAGCCGCCAAGGGUGGGGCUGCCCGCCCAUUAAAGGGGAACGUGAGAUGGGUUCAGACCGUCGUGAGACAGGUCGGUCUCUACCUGUCGGGGGUGCUGGCCGCCUGAGGGGAAGGUGCCCUCAGUACGAGAGGAACGGGGCGCCGCGGCCUCUAGUCUACCGGUUGUCCGGCAGGGCAGUGCCGGGCAGCCACGCCGCUUGGGGUAACCGCUGAAGGCAUCUAAGCGGGAAACCCGCCCCUAAAAUAGGCGGCCGCCGCUCCUGACCGGGGUUACCCGGUUGGGGGUGGUUAGGGCUCCCGUAGAAGACGGGGUUGAUGGGGUGGUGGUGUAUCCCCCGAGGGUUUUCCCGAGGGGGGAGCCUGCCACUCCCAAUCGCCCGAUGGUGCGGGUAG